UACGUAGGGGGCGAGCGUUGUCCGGAAUCAUUGGGCGUAAAGAGCGUGUAGGCGGUUUGGUAGGUCCGCUGUGAAAACUCGAGGCUCAACCUCGAGACGCCGGUGGAAACCAUCAGACUAGAGUCCGGAAGAGGAGAGUGGAAUUCCUGGUGUAGCGGUGAAAUGCGCAGAUAUCAGGAAGAACACCCGUGGCUAAGGCGGCUCUCUAGUACGGUACUGACGCUGAGACGCGAAAGCGUGGGGAGCGAACAGG
rnacentral:rRNA from 1 species